CUUAUGGGGGCACCCUGAUCUAGCCAUGCCGCGUGAGUGAUGAAGGCCUUAGGGUCGUAAAGCUCUUUCGCCUGUGAUGAUAAUGACAGUAGCAGGUAAAGAAACCCCGGCUAACUCCGUGCCAGCAGCCGCGGUAAUACGGAGGGGGUUAGCGUUGUUCGGAAUUACUGGGCGUAAAGCGCGCGUAGGCGGAUUAGAAAGUUGGGGGUGAAAUCCCGGGGCUCAACCUCGGAACUGCCUCCAAAACUGCUAGUCUAGAGUUCGAGAGAGGUGAGUGGAAUUCCGAGUGUAUAGGUGAAAUUCGUAGAUAUUCGGAGGAACACCAGUGGCGAAGGCGGCUCACUGGCUCGAUACUGACGCUGAGGUGCGAAAGUGUGGGGAGCAAACAGGAUUAGAUACCCUGGUAGUCCACACCGUAAACGAUGAAUGCCAGUCGUCGGAUAGUAUACUAUUCGGUGACACACCUAACGGAUUAAGCAUUCCGCCUGGGGAGUACGGUCGCAAGAUUAAAACUCAAAGGAAAUUGACGGA
rnacentral:rRNA from 1 species